rnacentral:ncRNA from 1 species
AAGCAAAGAUAAAAACACAGUCCGGUUGGUAGUCCGGACGGGGAAAAUUCCCUCAGUAGCCCUCCAUCCAGAGUAUGACCUGCAUACGAUGGUCGUCCCUUCUUUGCAUU